rnacentral:rRNA from 1 species
UACGUAAGGGGCAAGCGUUGUCCGGAAUCACUGGGCGUAAAGCGCACGUAGGCGGCCCAGCAAGUCGGGAGUGAAGGCCGGGGGCUCAACCCCGGAAUGGCUUUCGAAACUGCUGAGCUAGAGUACAGAAGGGGCAACCGGAAUUCCCAGUGUAGCGGUGAAAUGCGUAGAUAUUGGGAAGAACACCUGAGGCGAAGGCGGGUUGCUGGGCUGAUACUGACGCUGAGGCGCGAAAGCCAGGGGAGCAAACGGG